AUGGCAUGCGCCUAUAAUCCUAUUCCAGUUUUAAUCUCUACCCAACGCACAGUUAAAAACAAAGGCCAUAGAUACAAUAGAAACAAUAGAAGCCCAGCAAAUAUUCUAUCUAUACCCCGGCAUAUUCCUCCUUCCUGUGAGCCACUAUAUCCAGAAAAUAUUUCAAUGGCAAUACUAAAUAUUAGGUCACUAUCAGGGAAAACAUUUCUCAUUAACGAUCUUAUAUGUGAACGUAAAUUAGACUGUAUGUUUUUAACAGAAACCUGGCUAAACAAAAAUGGGUCUGCAGCUCUUAUUGAAGCAUCCCCUCCCAAUUAUAGCUUUUUUCAGUCCAUUAGAACAGGUAAAAAAGGGGGCGGGACAGCCACCAUAACCACGGAUGCCCUGUGCUGCAGGAGCAUCUCCUUCGAUGAUUUUGCCUCAUUUGAAUAUCAUGCCAUAGUUCUAAAGUGCCAGCCUCCUGUUCUGACAGUAACUGUGUAUAGGCCACCCAAGCAAUGUCCCACUUUUCUAACAGACUUUUCAGAACUACUCUCCAUUAUACACACAAACUACGAUAAGAUUAUUAUCACUGGUGAUUUUAACAUACAUGUUGAUAAUGGGAACGACUCAAAGGCCCGGGAUUUUAUGAAUCUCUUGAAUUCCAUGGACUUUACACAACACAUCACUGAACCCACUCACAACCGUGGCCACACCCUUGAUCUAGUUAUUACAAAGGGUCUUACAACUGUUAUAUCGUCUAUCUGUGACCUUGCUCUUUCUGACCACUUUUGUAUUUUCUUUACAGCACUGGUACCUAAAGUUAGAAAUAGUGCUGAAUGUUUUAUUAAGAAACGCUAUCUUAACUCUGCAGCAGCUGAGAAUUUCAAAGUAAUGAUGAACAUAACUAGUGCAAAAAACCCAGAUACGGGGCCAUCAUGUGUUAAUGAUCUAGUAACUACUCUAAAUACAAAAUUAAGGACAGCACUUGACUCUGUAGCACCAUUGAAACAAAAAAAGGUUUUAGCCAAACAAAAAGCUCCAUGGAGAAAUGAGGAAAUUAUUAAACUUAAGAGAUCCUGCAGAAGGUCUGAGCGUACAUGGAGAAAGACCAAGCUACAGGUCCACCUUGAUAUCUUUAAGGAUAAACUUUCAGUCUUUAAUAAAGCAAUAAGAAAUGCUAGGAAGGAUCAUUUCUCUAAUUUGAUAUCUACAAAUUCUAACAAUUCCAGGGUCCUCUUUUCAACAAUAGACAGCCUUAUA
ensembl:lncRNA